rnacentral:tRNA from 1 species
AAUAAAGUGCCUGAUAAAAGGGUUAUCUUGAUAGGAUAAAUAAUAUAUAACAUAUCUUUAUUA